UACGAAGGGGGCUAGCGUUGCUCGGAAUUACUGGGCGUAAAGCGCACGUAGGCGGAUUGUUAAGUCGGGGGUGAAAUCCUGGAGCUCAACUCCAGAACUGCCUUCGAUACUGGCGAUCUCGAGUUCGGGAGAGGUGAGUGGAACUGCGAGUGUAGAGGUGAAAUUCGUAGAUAUUCGCAAGAACACCAGUGGCGAAGGCGGCUCACUGGCCCGAUACUGACGCUGAGGUGACGAAAGCGUGGGGAGCAACAGGG
rnacentral:rRNA from 1 species